AACGAACGCUGGCGGCAUGCCUAACACAUGCAAGUCGAACGAGACCUUCGGGUCUAGUGGCGCACGGGUGCGUCACGCGUGGGAACCUGCCCUUAGGUUCGGAAUAACUCCCCGAAAGGGGUGCUAAUACCGGAUAAUGUCUUCGGACCAAAGAUUUAUCGCCUUUGGAUGGGCCCGCGUUGGAUUAGCUAGUUGGUAGGGUAAAAGCCUACCAAGGCGACGAUCCAUAGCUGGUCUGAGAGGAUGAUCAGCCACACUGGGACUGAGACACGGCCCAGACUCCUACGGGAGGCAGCAGUGGGGAAUAUAGGACAAUGGGCGAAAGCCUGAACCAGCAAUGCCGCGAGAGUGAUGAAGGCCUGAGGGUUGUAAAGCUCUUUUACCCGGGAUGAUAAUGACAGUACCGGGAGAAUAAGCUCCGGCUAGCUCCGUG
rnacentral:rRNA from 1 species